UGGUUCCAGCAAGUGUCUUCCUAUAAACACAUGAUGUGAAAAUAGCUUCUCGGCAUAUUACUGCUUUGUGCAGAACCAUUACUGGUUGUGGUAAGUAGUGUUGCUUUCGUUGUAUUACAGUAUAUCAAUUCUGUAGCAGGUUUUGCUUGUCGAGUGGGUUAAGACUGAAGAUUUGGGGCUGAAGCAACACAUUUGAUAGAAAUGUGGCAAAAUGGCAAAGGGAGGGAGCGGUUUUGAAAGGGAACCCAGUGAGAGGAGGUGGUGCUUAUAACAAUUCUAUUCCAUUUGCAUCCCACCUAUUUCUCGUGAGGAGCUCAAGGUGAUGUACACAGAUCUUCCCCCUCCUCAGUGGGUAGUGACCGGCCCAAGGUCACCAAGUGAGCUUCAUAGCUGCUUGGGGAUUUGAACCCUGGUCUCUGAGGUCCUAGUCCACUAUACCAUGCUGGCUUUGUGAGUGCAGAGAAACAGUGUGACAACAGGGGCCCCUUCUGAACAAAGAUUUUCUAGCAAGAAAGCAGCUGGUCUUUGAGGGGGCAAAAGCAUUGGUUUCUCCAUGCAUUGCUUCCCCGUUUACCUUCAAAGAUGGGACUACACUUGAGGGUUGACGUACUCUACUCGAAUUCCCUCCCCCCCAGCAAACCGGUGCCAUUUUUCUAGAAAAAGAGGUGCCGGAACUCACCAUGAACACCACCCUCGUUCUCUUAGAAUGGCAAUGGCCCCCACCUGAGAGGUUCCUGUGAAUUCCCUCUGGAAAAACCCUUGGGUAUUAUUACACUAUUAUUAUGCAAGGUGGUGUAAGCCACAGCACAGCUCCCUGCAAUAUGGGUAUAAUAUGGAUUUGUGACAAAUCAUUUGUCUGCAAUAGCAUUAAAAAAAAAAAAAACUUUACAAGCUCAGGAAAAAUAGUAAGCCAUGUUUGAGUAUGAAGUAAGACCCAAGUUAAAAAGAUUGUGAACUCCAAUUUUUUUCUUGCAGUCUUUUGUUUUUGAGUUGAUAAAGCACUCUCCAAUCAGAGCUAGACUAAAAUCUUGGAUAACUGAAUUGUUUUCUAUUGGAUGGCAAUCACUUCUCCAGCAGGAAUGAUAGAGAGAAAGGCUUAAAAAUAAAGCAAAAAGUUAUUUCUACAUACAAUGGGUGUUUUCCUCUAGACUUCUUUUUGUCCAUUUGGCUAUAUAGGCUAUUCUUCAAUGUCAAUCAUUGUUCAGACUUCUUUCAUUGACUUAAUACUGAGGCAGGAACAGGCUAAUUUCUCACAUAGAAAGAAAGAAAGAAAGAAAGAAAGAAAGAAAGAAAGAAAGAAAGAAAAUACAGCCUGUAUAUUUUGCCUUGUUUCUCAGGUUCUAGAAGGGCAAAGGAUCAGGUUGCUGUUUAUUUUCAAAGCCGGGAAUCCAGGGAAUAUGGUUGGGGUGGGAAGCAAAUGCCACCUUAACCCCCAUGACCAGGUUGCUGUCUAUUCAGGGCACCUCCAUCAGCAACUGUGAUUUUGUGUCAGGAGCAGAAAAUGCAUUUUCACAGCUUCCCUGCCUCAAGUACUACUUAUUAUGCUUUGUCACAUGCACUAUUAAAAGCAUGUAUUUGUAGUAGCCUUAGUGCACAUCUCAGCAGGAAAAAAUACAAUAUAACAUAUUGUUUUGUGGACAAGCAUCACACCUUAUGGUACAAUAGUAUAUAUUGUGGACUGUGCUAUUGGUUCCUUAAAAUUUAUGUUCCUGCUACACAAAAGAUUGGGAAUACCGUAUUGAGAAAUGUUUGCAUAUGGACAACAUGUUAAACUUGAUUUGGUGUGGCAUGAAUGCACUGCAGCAAGACUUAGUCUU